GUCAAAAGUAGUGCACUAUGUAGGGAAUUAGGGUGCCAUUUGGGAUGAACACUAUGUUACGUAAGUUUGUUUAGGAUUUUAAUAAUGAGCUGUCUCUGUGGAACUCAGUUUAUUAAAGAAAUACCCUCCCUCUAGUUAUACAUUUUAAUCUGAGCGAAACGCAGACUACCACCACUACACAGUCUGAAAUACAGGCACACUACCACCACUACACAGUCUGAAAUACAGACACACUACCACCACUACACAGUCUGAAAUACAGGCACACUACCACCACUACACAGUCUGAAAUACAGGCACACUACCACCACUACACAGUCUGAAAUACAGACACACUACCACCACUACACAGUCUGAAAUACAGGCACACUACCACUACUAGACAGUCUGAAAUACAGGCAGACUACCACCACUACACAGUCUGAAAUACAGGCACACUACCACCACUACACAGUCUGAAAUACAGGCACACUACCACUACUAGACAGUCUGAAAUACAGGCACACUACCACCACUAAACAGCAGUGGAGGCUGCUGAGGGGAGGGUGAAUCAUAGUACUGCCUGGAAUGGAGUCAAUGGGAUGGUAUCAAGCACAUAAGAACCACAUGUUCGAUACCAUUCCAUUGACUCGAUUACAGCCAUUAUUAUGAGCCGUCGUCCCCUCAGCAGCCUCCACUGGUGCAAAGUCUGAAAUACAGGCACACUACCACCACUACACAAGACUACACAGUCUGAAAUACAGACACACUACCACCACUACACAGUCUGAAAUACAGACUUCCACCGCUACACAAGUCUGAAAUACAGGCACACUACCACCACUACACAAGACUACACAGUCUGAAAUACAGACUUCCACCGCUACACAAGUCUGAAAUACAGACACACUACCACCACUACACAAGACUACACAGUCUGAAAUACAGACACACUACCACCACUACACAAGACUACACAGUCUGAAAUACAGACUUCCACCGCUACACAAGUCUGAAAUACAGACACACUACCACCACUACACAAGACUACA
rnacentral:lncRNA from 13 species